rnacentral:rRNA from 1 species
AACGAACGCUGGCGGCAUGCCUAACACAUGCAAGUCGAACGAGACCUUCGGGUCUAGUGGCGCACGGGUGCGUAACGCGUGGGAACCUGCCCUUAGGUUCGGAAUAACUCCCCGAAAGGGGUGCUAAUACCGGAUAAUGUCUUCGGACCAAAGAUUUAUCGCCUUUGGAUGGGCCCGCGUUGGAUUAGCUAGUUGGUAGGGUAAAAGCCUACCAAGGCGACGAUCCAUAGCUGGUCUGAGAGGAUGAUCAGCCACACUGGGACUGAGACACGGCCCAGAAUCCUCCGGGAGGCAGCAGUGGGGAAUAGUGGACAAUGGGCGAAAGCAUGAUCCAGCAAUGCCGCGUGAGUGAUGAAGGCCUUAGGGUUGUAAAGCUCUUUUACCCGGGAUGAUAAUGACAGUACCGGGAGAAUAAGCUACGGCUAACUACGUG